rnacentral:rRNA from 1 species
AGAUUGAACGCUGGCGGCAUGCCUAACACAUGCAAGUCGAACGGGAGUAGCAAUACUCUAGUGGCGGACGGGUGAGGAAUACGUAGGAAUUUGCCCUUAAGUGGGGGAUAACCCGGGGAAACCCGGAUUAAUACCGCAUGACCUCGAAAGAGCAAAGUGGGGGAUCGCAAGACCUCACGCUUUUGGAGAAGCCUACGUCGGAUUAGCUAGUUGUGAGUAAUGGCUCACAAGGCGACGAUACCGUAACUGGUCU